rnacentral:rRNA from 1 species
AUUGAACGCUGGCGGCAGGCCUAACACAUGCAAGUCGAACGAGCGGCGGACGGGUGAGUAAUGUCUGGGAAUCUGCCUGAUUGAGGGGGAUAACUACUGGAAACGGUAGCUAAUACCUCAUACCAUCAGAUGAGCCCAGAUGGGAUUAGCUUGUUGGUGGGGUAACGGCUCACCUAGUCGACGAUCCCUAGCUGGUCUGAGUGGAUGAUCGGCCACACGGGAACUGGGAAACGGUCCAGACUCCUACGGGAGGCAGCAGUGGGGAAUAUUGCACAAUGGGCGCAAGCCGGAUGGAGCCAUGCAGAGUGUAUGAAGAAGGCCUUCGGGUUGUAAAGUACUUUCAGCGGGGAGGCGUUACCCGAAGAAGAAGCACCGGCUAACUCAGUGCCAGCCGCCGCGGUAAUAC